CCCGCCAGAAAUCUCCACCAGCGGCGGAAACUCCAAAAAAACCCUCAAACUCACACCAUACACUUCUCUCAUCCUCUUAAACAUCAUCUUACAAACCAAACCCCCAAAUACCCAACCAAAAUCUGUAGAUCUUGAAUCUAAAAAUGUCAAAACCCUAUAUCUACUUCUUUAUUUUAUUUUUCUAGUCGUUAUAAAAUUCUCCGGUCAAGAUCUUCCAUCAAGGAUCUUAGAUCUAAGACGGGAGUCUUGGAUUGAUAGUUUUUUUUACAAUUAGACUCUUUAAAUUUUGUAAUUCACGUUUGUUAUUUAUUUCAUGCAUUUAUGCAUUUUUUGUAUUUUUCGUUAAUUUCUGAAUUUAUUUACUAUUAUUUUUUUCCCGCAUUAUAUUCUAUUUUUAUUUAAUUUACGC
rnacentral:lncRNA from 1 species